rnacentral:SRP_RNA from 1 species
GCCGGGAGGGGUAAUUUACUCUUGAAAUCCAAUUACUCGGAGGUUAGGUGUAGAGGAUGCUUUAGGGGGGAGGGUUCUGGGAUUGGAUUUACCACAUCCGCUAGGAGUAAACCUUCAAUUUGAUGCCUUAAGGGAGCCCGAGGUAACCUGGUUAAGUCUGAAAAGGGGAAAAAUCGGGCCAAAAGUCACCAAGUUGAGAGUCGGGGGUUCAAAUUUUGAAGGUGGGAGUUUAAUUUUAGCUUGUCCAAACAAGGACAGACCUGUAUCUAA